rnacentral:rRNA from 1 species
GAGGAACGCUGGCGGCGUGCCUAACACAUGCAAGUCGAACGGAGUCCAGCCUUUAAGACCUUCGGGUCAAAGAGGGGAAGACUGAGUGGCGGACGGGUGAGUAACACGUGGGCAACCUGGCUCAUAGAGGGGGAUAACAGAGAGAAAUUUCUGCUAAUACCGCAUAAGCACACACUGCCGCAUGGCAGAGGGUGAAAAGAGAAUCGCUAUGAGAUGGACCCGCGUCUGAUUAGCCAGUUGGCAGGGUAAGAGCCUACCAAAGCGACGAUCAGUAGCCGAUCUGAGAGGAUGAACGGCCACAUUGGGACUGAGACACGGCCCAAACUCCUACGGGAGGCAGCAGUGGGGGAUAUUGCACAAUGGGGGGAACCCUGAUGCAGCGACGCCGCGUGAGUGAAGAAGUAUUUCGGUAUGUAAAGCUCUAUCAGCAGGGAAGAUAAUGACAGUACCUGAAUAAGAAGCCCCGGCUAACUACGUG